ensembl:lncRNA
CUCAGGAUGGACGAAGUUGGUGAAUGAAUGAAUGAAAUGAAUGAAUGAUAGCGGAAAGAAUAGAAGCUGAUAUUCCUUGGUUUACACAGAAAGCUAAUAAAGCCCCAAGACAAGGGACGUGCUUUGUUCACAUAGGCCGCAGGCGCCCUCCUGGUCUCCCAAGGGAGUGAAGACGCAGAGCGCCUUCCUGUUCAGGUCUUAGAAGCCCAGGCAAAUAAGUGAAUGCAGAGAGCCUCUGUGCUCCAAGGGAUCAGCCUGAAAAAAGAGAGUAAGAGAGAGAAAGAAAAUAAGAAAGACAUGGGGAGACCAAGCUUCUUCGAUUCUCCUUAUAUGCAUGGUGACCAUUGGUAAUAUGUGAUAAAGAACCACCUAGAAUACGUAUCCUCAGUGAUGGCAUCACCAACUCGAUGGACCUGAGUUUGAGCAAGCUCCGGGAGAUGCUGAUGGACAGGAAAGCCUGGCAUGCUACAGUCCAUGGGGGUCGCAAAGAGUCGGAGACAACUGAGCGACUGCACUGAGGAACUUCCAGUAAGACCCAUUAGCUCUUCAGUAGAGGGCAUCAACUGAUGAAGAAGGAAACAGACAGAGCUGGACUCCAUCUUACGCCAGGCUGCAAACACUAGGCUACACGCAUGGGCAUCCUCCCAAAGGACUCUGAACUUUGUGCAGGGUGUCUAUAGAAAUGGCAUACCCAUAGAAAACCAGACUCCCGGAUAAAAGAGCCUCAGGACUGGUACUUGGACUCUCCAUUGCCUAAAGGAGUAUGCUAAUUAUCUCUGUA